rnacentral:rRNA from 1 species
AUUGAACGCUGGCGGCAGGCUUAACACAUGCAAGUCGAACGAGUGGCGGACGGGUGAGUAAUGCUAGGGAAUCUAGCUUAUGGAGGGGGAUAACUACGGGAAACUGUAGCUAAUACCGCGGACAAGAGGAUGAGCCCAAGUGGGAUUAGGUAGUUGGUGAGGUAAAGGCUCACCAAGCCGACGAUCUCUAGCUGGUUGGAGAGGAUGACCAGCCACACUGUGACUGGGACACGGCCCAGACUCCUACGGGAGGCAGCAGUGGGGAAUAUUGCGCAAUGGGGGCAACCUGACGCAGCCAUGCCGCGUGAAUGAAGAAGGCCUUCGGGUUGUAAAGUUCUUUCGGUAGCGAGGCUUUAACUUCAGAAGAAGCACCGGCUAACUCCGUGCCAGCAGCCGCGGUAAUUC